CAGAUAACUUUUAUCAGUGAAUAAGGAUAAGACGUUAGCAAUUCAUGAUGUAUGGAAAACUCUUAUUAAUCGUGAACGUGGCCGUGUGUGUCAUCAUCGCCGCUGCAAUGCAGUUUGAACACGCCCACCAGUACCAUGGCAAUCCCAACAAUUGAGGAUGGCAAUGAGUUCUGCAGCACGACAUAUAAUCAGCAAAAAAUUAAAUAAACACUUCAAUUUGAAUAACCAUCAAUUGUAUUGGUUAAUAUAUUUGGUUAUUUCAAUGACUGUGCCAUCAAUACCACUUUUUGGCAGGAAUUUGUAAUUUCUUAAGCUAAUAUUGAUUGUCUUAAAUGAAUAGUAAUGUAUCAAUACAAUCAGAUGUGUCGUCCAGAAUAAACUGCGAAAUAUG